rnacentral:lncRNA from 1 species
GACUUAGCCUUUCAAAUUUUAUAGAACUACUCCUCUCUAUCAAGGUCGAUAGUUCCUAUCUUGAUGUGCACCCCACUCUUACAGUGGAUCAACUAUCGUCAAUAUCUACUAUAAGAGCUCAUUAAGAUUUAUGUUUAUGUGUCAAUCAAACUCCAACAGCCUCACUGUAAGUAGCAGUACCAUCUCAAGUCAAAAGAUCAGUCACACAACUAUAGCAUCGAGACAAUCACUGACGAUUGAAUAGAAAUCUAAGUGAUCUCUUGUAUGAUCAUGCUCAGUGUCAGUUGUUCUCUAACAACCAUCCACAUUUGUCGCCCUGUGUCUCUACACAGUAGAUUAGAGACCCAUCUAACCCAAAAAAAGUGAUUUGUGCGUCAGUCUAUCCAGAUCUAUCAUCGUCCUCAUGAUGAUCCUAUGAUCGGAAGUCUUUAGGAAUUAAAUACAUGUCUAUAAUUCUCAAUACUUUGAGAAUAUACAUCGAAACUUAUUCCAUGGAUAAUUCAAAGACACAUUACACUUGAAUGAA